GACGAACGCUGGCGGCGUGCCUAAUACAUGCAAGUCGAGCGGACCUCUUCGGAGGUUAGCGGCGGACGGGUGAGUAACACGUGGGCAACCUGCCUGUAAGACUGGGAUAACUUCGGGAAACCGGAGCUAAUACCGGAUAACCCUUUUUGACUCAUGUCAGAAAGCUGAAAGACGGUUUCGGCUGUCACUUACAGAUGGGCCCGCGGCGCGUUAGCUAGUUGGUGGGGUAACGGCCCACCAAGGCGACGAUGCGUAGCCGACCUGAGAGGGUGGUCGGCCACACUGGGACGGAGAACCGGCCCAUGCUCCUACGGGAGGCAGCAGUAGGGAAUCUUGCGCAAUGGACGAAAGUCUGACGGAGCAACGCCGCGUGAGCGAAGAAGGCCUUCGGGUCGUAAAGCUCUGUUGUCAGGGAAGAACAAGUAUUGGGGUAACUGCCGGUACCUUGACGGUACCUGACCAGAAAGCCACGGCUAACUACGUGCCAGCCGCCGCGGUAACAC
rnacentral:rRNA from 1 species